GGUCUCGUCCGCGUCUUCCGCCUCUGCGCAGGCGCCGUGCCCCUCCCACGGCGGUUGGCCAUAUAGAGGCUGGGGGUGGGGGGGGAGGUCAAGCGUAGCCUCUUCUCCUUUACCAAGAUGGCGGCUUGUCCCUGUUUCGCCACAGUUCCUACCUUAUGAGCUUGGUUUCCUUACGCUGGUAAGAGUGGAACAGGGCUGUGUGGAGUGGGAGAUGCAGAGGUGGUGUCAAGAAUAUAUCCUGGAUUGUUCUGUGUACCGUAUUGCAGUGUCCCAGGAGGCACGAUCUGUGGCUGUCAUUUUGGAUGUUACAGUGAUCAGAGGUACAAGUGGGGAGAGGCAGAGGGAGAGGAGAG